AUUGCCCUAGUAACGGCGAGUGAAGCGGCAACAGCUCAAAUUUGAAAUCUGCCUUCGGGCCGAGUUGUAAUUUGUAGAGGAAGCUUUUGGUGAGGCACCUUCUGAGUCCCCUGGAACGGGGCGCCAUAGAGGGUGAGAGCCCCGUAUAGUCGGAUGCCGAUCCAAUGUAAAGCUCCUUCGACGAGUCGAGUAGUUUGGGAAUGCUGCUCAAAAUGGGAGGUAAAUUUCUUCUAAAGCUAAAUACCGGCCAGAGACCGAUAGCGCACAAGUAGAGUGAUCGAAAGAUGAAAAGCACCUUGAAAAGGGGGUUAAAUAGCACGUGAAAUUGUUGAAAGGGAAGCGUUUGCGGCCAGACUUGCGCCGCUCCGAUCAUCCGGUGUUCUCACCGGUGCACUCGGGGCGGCGCAGGCCAGCAUCGGUUUCGGCGGGGGGAUAAAGGUCCAGGGAACGUAGCUCCUUCGGGAGUGUUAUAGCCCUGGGCGUAAUGCCCUCGCCGGGACCGAGGUUCGCGCAUCUGCAAGGAUGCUGGCGUAAUGGCCGCCAACGACCCGUCUUGAAACACGGACCAAGGAGUCAAGGUUUUGCGCGAGUGUUUGGGUGUAAAACCCGCACGCGUAAUGAAAGUGAACGUAGGUGAGAGCUUCGGCGCAUCAUCGACCGAUCCUGAUGUAUUCGGAUGGAUUUGAGUAAGAGCGUUAAGCCUUGGACCCGAAAGAUGGUGAACUAUGCUUGGAUAGGGUGAAGCCAGAGGAAACUCUGGUGGAGGCUCGCAGCGGUUCUGACGUGCAAAUCGAUCGUCAAAUCUGAGCAUGGGGGCGAAAGACUA
rnacentral:rRNA from 1 species